rnacentral:rRNA from 1 species
CGUGCUAAGGAAGCAUAAUCAUUAGCCUCUUAAUAGGAGGCUUGUAUGAAAGGUAAAACAUUUUAACUUCUUUUUUAAUUCCUUUUUUCUAAUUUAAAUUAAGAGUUAAAAUGCUCUUAUUUUUAAAAUAGACGAUAAGACCCUUUUGAACUUUACUGAAGUUUAGCUGGGGCAGCUAAAUAAAUAAUAUCUUAUUUUUUUCCUUUUUUUCUAAAGACCCAAUAAUAUUGAUUUUUUGAACAAGUUACCAUAGGGAUAACAGCGUAAUAUCUUUUUAAAGCUCUUAUUUAAAAAGGGGAUUGCGACCUCGAUGUUGAAUUAAUGUAACUUUUAUGCAGUAAUUUUAUAAGUAGGUCUGUUCGACCUUUAAUACAUUACAUGAUUUGAGUUCAAAUCGGUGUAAACCAGAUUGGUUUCUAUCUUUUUUAUAUUUUUAUUUAGUACGAAAGGACCAAUAAAUUUAUUUUCAAU